rnacentral:lncRNA from 1 species
AAAAAUGUGAUUUAAAAAAAAAGAAAAGUACGCAUGAUCCUUCUAUACUUAUAUUCCUAGCUCUUGAGAAAUGAGUUAUUUGAGUUUGGAGACACACGUUCAGGGGACGGUACUCGGCUCUUUGAAAGAGUAUUAAGCUUGAAUGGAUUGCAUGAGCCACAGAACCUUAAGUGUCGGAGGCUUAUCCGCUUAUGUGAAUCAAGUUCAUGUCCACACAAUGAGACGAUACGGUCAAAUAUGUCCUAUGUUCUUGGACCAGUUGCAUACAAUUUAAUUAUCCUCUUGUCAAUAUUAGAUUAGAGAUACAACAGUUUUGUCUUCCAUAGAGAGAGCUUCUUCAUCAUCGACGAAAAGAAGAACAAAAGCCCAUACAUAUCCCAGUUGAAAACGAGAAGAAAAGCCCACACAGAAAAUUAAAGAUACGUGAUUACCUAACUGCAAAAGACAAAGGUAUGUGACCACCUCGGUAACUGCAGAAGACAGUUAAAGGUUGUUGAGUUGAGCCGCCAAAACAGAAUACUUAGAGCAAAAACAGAAGAAGAAGGUAUGUGACCAGCUAGGUAACUGCAGAAGACAAAUAAAGGUUGUUGAGUUGAGCCGCCAAAACAGAAUACUCUCAGUGUAAAAACAGAAGAAGAAGGUACGUACGUGUUCUGUUUCGUAUUAAGAUUAAAAAAAAAAUAGAGCAAUGAGUUCACAAAGGCAUGUGUCAGAGUGUGAUUAGUAGAUUUAGAUCUAAGCUUUAAAAGUGAAAAACAACUAGCAUUUAGCAACAAAAAUAAAAGCAACUAGCUAGUAGAAAACUGAGAGUGGCAAUGGAUGCUGAUAUAUACUUCCUCAUCAACCUCUCAUUUACACUAUUAUUCAUUGAAUAAGAUUAAUAAAAUAUGAUCUUUUAAUUUAAUAGUUUGGAUUUUUUUAAAUAUACGUUGCAUUAAUUAUCAAAAAUUUGUUACUAAUAUAUCUUAAAUGUAAUUUUAUAUAUUAUCUAUGUUUUUUAACAUUUUAAGUGUUUUUUAUAAAUUUAAAUUCGUGUAAUUUUAUGCUAAAUUGUGUUAUUUAAAAAUAUAAUAUUUUGUUAACAUUAUUAAUAUUUGUGAGUGUAUUAAUUUUACUAUUAUAGUUAAUAUAAAUAAAUAUACUAAAUUAAGAUGUAAUCUAAGAUGUAAUUAAUAUAAUUAAAUAUAUUUAAGAUAAUAUUUACUUUAAUAUAUUUUAUAAAAUAAAAACAAAAGAUUUUUUACUUUAAGAUAAUAUUUAGAGACAUUACACUUAAAUGCAUUUUUUAAACACAUAUUACAAUAAAAUACACUUCUAGCUAUUAUGAUAUUUUUUUGUUUUUUUUAAUUUCAUACCAAAAUAAUCCAAAAUUGUCUCAUGUGUUCACGAUAACGUUGGAUGCGAACUAGCAUAGAUUAAACUCAGAUUUUAAAAACAGUAAUUUUUCUCAUCUAUUUUUUGUAUUUUUUAAUAUUGUGAAAGAUAAAUAAAAACAGUUUUUUGUUAUAAUGAAAUAUAAUUUUAUUUUCUCAUAUUUUAAGACACAUUAUACUAUAAUUUAUUUAUUAAAUAAGAAAUUUUUCGAAAAUCAUUUAUAUAAAAUUCAAAAAAAAAAUCACAAGUUUAGUUAGAUAUCCAUUCACAAAAUAAAAUAUGGAUGAUAUAUGAUGGACAUAAAACAUGGACAUGAUGGCAUGAAUUAAUUUUAAUUGAUAUAUUUGACGUGGAUAUAUAUUUUACAUUGUCCACGAUAUAGAUAUAAUUGUGUGGAUAUGUUGUUAUUGAUAUAUUCGACAUGGAUAUACAUUUUACAUUGUCCAUAAUAGGACAUGAUCAUAUGAAUUAUUUUGAUGUUAAAUUUGAAAAAAAAAAAUUAUAAUAAUUAAAAGUGCUUUUUUGUAAGAAUAAGUAGAAAAAUAUAUUUUUGAGUGUAAAUCACUCUAAUAUUUAACUUAAGUUUUCAAUAUUAAUUACACUGAAAUUAAAAUUUGUACAACAUUAAUAAUAUUAUAUAGAUGAGAUAUAUUAGUGGAUACUUUAUCAAAAAAGGCAAAAAUUUAUGAUAGGGUUCUCAAAAAAAACGAAUUCUUAAAAUAUUAGUACUUCCUUCAUUCUGAUUUUAUAUGAUACUUUAUCAUUGUACACAGAUUAAGAAAUCUUUAAUUUAAUUUUUUUCUAUACUAAAACUUUAAUUUUUAUCAUUUUCAAUAUAAUGCAACUAAUUCAAAAAAAUAAUAUGCAAAAUAUAAAAAUCUGUAAAACACCAUUUAGAUAAGAACGGAUGAAAUAUUAUAUUUAUGAGAUAUCCUUAAGAUAUCUUAAUAGAAAUGCUCUUACAAAUAAAAACAAACCAGUGGUCAAAUGUCUUUGGAAAUGUCUCUGUUCUUUGACGACAACAAAAAUUGUCUCUUAACUUUCAGUGUUUUGUUUCAAGAGAAACUAGAUUCUAACCCUGUGCAUCCGCACAAGAAUUUUUUUUAUUUCUGAUAUAAAUUGUAAUUAUUUUUUUGUUUAGAUAUAAUUUGUUUUUGUUAUUUAUUUUUUUUUUAAAUCAAGAAAAUUUUUAGCAUGUUUUAAUUUUAAAUAAUAUAGAUUUGUAUAUCAGUAGAAUAAAUGUAUAAGUUAAUUACGUAUACAUCGACCUAAUGUUAAUUAUAAAAUUUAUUAUUAUGUAAAUUUUUAUUUACAUAUAAACAAUCUAUGUAUAUAUCUAUGAAUUUGCUAAUCUGUCUGUUUAGUUGCCUUAAAAUCAUUUUUUUUAUAAAUAUUUUACAUGUUUUGACAAACUAACCAGAAUAAAACUCUAAUUAUAAAGGGAGAGUUUCACAUUUAACCCAUAUUUCACAGUCAAACAUCAAACUAACCUCUUUUUUUUCUCUCUCCAACUUUUGCCAUUUUCUCACAAUUUUAUCCUUCCCACUUUAACUAUUAACGAAAAUACCAUUAUACAUCUAUUAUUUCGAUUUUUCUUUAAUUUGGCUAAAGUCUCCUUGGACCUUCUAAAGACCUUUUAAUUACGAGAAUGCCAUCUUUUUCAAUUUCUUCAACCACCAUGAACAACCAUGAAAAUAGAAUAAAUGCUUCUCAACCAAUUUUAAAGCUGUAAUAAAACAAAUAUCUGAGCUCAUUCACUCAUAACCUUGCUCAUUCUUUCAUAAUUUCUUCUCCAAAACAUCUGGGCAAAGUUACAAUGCUUCGCGCCAUGCUUUUUUGGUGAUUUCUGGUUACUCGACACCUGGGUUGUUUAAUUUCGGUGAAAUCUUGAGUUCUGGGUGGAUAAGAGAAACUUAGGCGAGCACAAUUUUGUUAAAGGUAAUCCUCGCACUUCAAUUUCUCCACAUUUCAGUUUUUAUAUCGCGAAAGUAGACUUCUCGUGAACUAUACUGAAGUCUACUAGUCAACAUAAGGUUAUUUUUGCAAUUGACUUUUAAAAAGUAGACUUCGUUAAACUUCACGAGAAGUCUACUCGACAUCCUUUGAAAACAAAAAAAAAACUUAGUAGACUUCGUUUGAAGGCUCAAGAAGUCUACUAAAGAAAAGAGGUUAUUUUUGUAGUUUGCCGUAUUUUGACUUUUUGAUUUAGACUUCCGUAUGAAGUCUACUGCUUACGUCUGCAUACAAAGUCUACUUUAAAGUUACUUUUGUAGUUUGACCAAAAACGUAUAGGUCAUUUUUGUGUUUGACUUCUGUUUUUCAAAAAUUAAAAAAUUUAAAAAAUUCCAAAAAACUUCAGUAGACUUCCCAAAGAAGUCUACAAUUUGUAGACUUCUUUGGGAAGUCUACUUAUUUUGUUCGGUCAAACUUAGAAGGAAUCCUUUUUUGAGUAGACUUCUCAAAAAAAUCAAUUGCAAAAAUAACCUAUUUUGUUCCGUAGACUUCUAUUUAAAAAGUAGACUUCAAAUGUAGACUGUCAGAGAAGUCUAUUCUAACAUGAAGUCUACAAUAGAAGUCUAUUCUGUUAGUCAAUGCAUCGGUCCAAUGCUAAAGUAACCUUUUUUUACUGAAGUCUACUCCUGAAGUCUACUGAAGGAAAAGUCAACAGAUUGGUCAAUUGCAAAAAUGACCUUUUUUGUAGAUUUCAUUAGUAGACUUCUCAAUGAAAAAGUAGACUUCUCCUCCAGUCUACAGUUGAAGUCGGCUUACGAAGUCUACUUUUUGAUGUUUUUUAAAAAAUGCGUUUUAAGCAAAUUUAUAAACUAUUUUUCAAAUUUUUUGGUUUAGAAUUGCUUCUUAGUAAGUGAUUGAACUUCCCAUUCAAUUUUAUUUCAUUUCAUUGGAUAUUUAUUGUUGAAUCAGAAAUUUCAAUUUUUUAGGUACUUAGCUUAUCAAAGUAGACUUCUCCUCCAGUCUACAUUCAAAGUCUGCUUUAGAAGUCUGCUUUAGGAGUCUACUUUUAGACGUUUUUUUAAAAACGCGUUUUAAGCAAAUUUAUAAACUAUUUUUCAAAUUUUUUGGUUUAGAAUUGCUUCUUAGUAAGUGAUUGAACUAUCCAGUGAAUUUUAUUUUCAUUUCAUUGGAUAUUUAUUGUUGAAUCAGAAAUUUCGAUUUUUUAGGUACUUAGCUUAUCAAAGUAGACUUCGUCGUGUAGUCUACUCAUGUUCUUUUCCGUAGAAGUCCACUCUUGAUACAAAAAGUCUCUAUGCAGUGUUUGCUAAUAUGGUUUAUAUGGUUUAUAUGGUUAUUUUUUCAGAGAAUGGCUCAAAUUCUAGUUGUGUACGGUGAGUGGAAGAUUGAGGAGAAUUCAUGGCAUUUUGUUGUUGACAUGGGCAAAGGUGGAAGAAUGUGGUUUUUGAACGAUGGUUGCACCUUGGGGGAGCUUACUGAGAUGGCGCGAGAUGAUUAUAACUUGGGCAAGAAGACUGAGCUCAUCGAGUUAACCUGCGCACUACCAAUCUCAAUGUUGCAAACUAUGGCUCCAGAUACACCUCCAAUGCAUGUCACCAAUGAUAGAAAAGUUUCAAGCUUGAUUGCGUUAAGCAGAGUGCAUAUGGUACGUCUUUGUGUGUCCAGUCGAGUGGAGAUGGAUACUGAGGAGAACCAGGAAGGAUCAGAUGAAGAUUUAGGUGAGGAGUCUGAGGAAAAUUCCGAAUAUUCUACCGAUGAUGAGGCAGACAGUUCUGAUGUGAACAAGGAUGGAGAAGAUGUCGACAAUGCAGCUUACUCUGACGGAGAAGAUUACAGUGUCUACAGUAAAGUGAAAGAUGAAGAUGAUGAUGAAAAUGAAGUCUGAAUUACUCUGCAGUUUAUUGUCACAAACAGGCAUGAAUUUACAAAUGACUACACCAAUGCUAUAAUUUAGUAACAUGUUUUAUCAUAGUCUGAAAAUUGUAAACAACUAGUUUUUAAAACAUAAGUAAAUAAUAUCACAUGGUACAUUACACUAGUAAACAUGUUCGAAUUCAAAUGACAUUAGUAUUAAAUGUUCCUAUCUUUGUGUGAUCUUGUUCGCACGUAAUGUUUUCGUAUAGGCGGAGGGUUUUUGGUACUAACCCCUUCAUGCUUCUUGGAUCCAGUGCCCUGCUGCUGGGUUGACUCUACAUUGUCUUUAACCUCUUCCUCAGUGUGCUUCGCCGACCCUGUAGUCAACUCCUCUACCGCACGCUCUACAGAUUCAACCUUCUCGGUGAGAAGUUUGAUCUGCUUUUCACAGCUACCAAGACCAUUCAGCAUCUUGGUUGAAAAGCUUUUGAAGCAUUGGUCGAAGUGCGCUUUCAUAGUAGCGACAACUCCGAUCCCUUCGUCACCAACGAAUGAGGCGGCAGAGGCAGAGGCUGUGCAGGGUCUCUUGCGACUUGAUUCAUCUGAGGGAAGGCUCCUCUUUCCGGCUUCUGCCUUGACGAUGUGUGCACCCAAAACACCUUCCAAAGGCCAAUGGUUUUUUGAGAACUUGAAAUGGGGGUCAUGGAUUGCAUUGACAAUCUUGAAAAUAUCUGGAUCCUGUUCGUCAUCAUCCCACACGGGAAACAUAUCCGCCAAGUCCUUAGCCACGCAGCACUGUAUGCGAGCUUGGAAAAACACAAUAAGUAAAUGAAUUACUAUCCAUAUGAAGCCUCGAAAAACUACGUAUGAAGUCUACUCCUGAAGUCUAACAUAGAAGUCUAUUCCUGAAUGUCUCACACUAUCAAUGGUACAUAUAGAAGUCUACACAUGAAGUCUACUUCUGAAGACUACUUUGAAAAUUCAUUACUACAUAGAAGUCUACUACACUAAUACAGUACCUGUUUUAGCAUGUUGGCUUUGGCGUUCUUUCGUCCUCUUGAUCCUUUGUAAUCCAGCAAAAGAGGUUCAGUAACAUUUGGCAAUGGUUUGCCAAAUCCAGCAGCAAAAUCCGGCAGAGCAUAGUACACCCACACUUGAAGAGCUUGCACAAAUCCUUCUAUAUGAAUGUUUUUGCUGAGAUCUUUCUCCUUAACAGACUUGAUCAAAUGCUGAAAAGCAAUUCUUCCCCAUGGAAACUCCUUAAAACCUUCGAGAUCCAUCACUAGUCUGGCAUGGUUGACAUUUGUGGAUUAGCCAGGUCUUGUUGCCACUAUGAAACCAGCGUAGAUCCCAAGAUAACCCAACCGCAGCCUAUCAUCCCGAGACCAUGAUGAGCAGUUGGAACAGGCUUCAAUAAUUUCGAUAGUGCUUGGACCCGACUCCGCAUCGACCCCCAUUAGCUCCCAAAAUGCACGCAUGUCAUCGGCAAGCGCAAGAUCAGUUAAAGCCAAGUCAUCCACGUACCCGCAGUUGAGUCCGGUGAUCUCCUCAAACUCAUGCAAUGAAAACCAAACUGGAGUGGUACCAAUCAGGCUCCAUAUCUCGUACCUCUGCUUGCAAACUAUCUGAAAGGUCAGCAUGUGGUGCACCAGCCUAGAAGCCCAACCAAAAUCCCAGUCGUGGAACUUUAAAAAGACACCCAACGGUGACUCGUAAAUCUCUUCCCAUUCAUCCUCUUGUAGAGCUGACUUUAGUGCAGGUACCAGCCUAUAAUCAUCAGCAUAAUAGCUCAUGCUUUUAUCUGGGGCUGGCUCAAACCCUUUGGUGUACAGUCUUCUAGGGAAAUCAGAGGCCACCAUUAUCUAACACAGAUUUCUGCAUCAACGGUAACAAAGCUCUAAUGAGAAAAACUAGUAACGAUUUGAAACUAUACACGAAUGAAGUCUACUUUUUCAAAGUGAAGUCUACAUUUUCAAAAUAAAGUCUACUUUUUCAAAAUGAAGUCUACUUUUUCAAAAUGAAGUCUACUUUUGCAAAACGAAGUCUACUUUUUGCAAAAUGAAGUUUACUUUCACAUUCUAAGUACAAUCCGAGUCGAGAAGUCUACUGAAGCCAACCGAAGUAAUCUUAACAUAAAAAAACAGUAUAUUAAGUCAACGGAAUCCACAUGAAACAAUCAAAACAUCAUAAAUACUGCAUAUGCAGUCUACAGAACCCAACCGAAGCAAUCAAUACAUGAUAAAUACUGUAUAUGAUGUCUACUAAAACAAAUCAUCCAAAUGGAAUCUACAAAGUUUAUAGUGUUUACCGCCGUUAUUAGAUGAAGCUGGAGUCGAGAAAAUGCAACCAGAUCUGGGAAAAAAACCUAAGUCAAACCCGACAGACAAAAUUACAGGAAGAUAGAAGAAAUAUAAGAAUUGCUAAGUAUAUAACUUCGGAACAACAUCUACUAACCGUUUUGAGGCAGGAAAUGACGUUAACCUCCAACGGCGAAAGCAGAUCUGCAAAAAAAAAAAAACCCUAAUUUCAAAUCUAGAAACUGGUGGUUACGAAAACGGAAAGGUGAUGAAUAUUGAAUACGGAGGAGUAGGGAAGCAUGGGGGUGUGGUUGGAGGAAGAAAACUUGCCUGAACGAGUUUAUCGGCAGCGGUUCUGUAUGUCGGCGGCGCCGGAGCAGAAAAACAGAAAUCGCCUUCGACUUUUUUUUUUUUUUACACGAACUUUCGACGGUUUUUUUUUUAACAGGAUCUGUAAAAUUCGUAUAUAUAGUCUUGUAAUUCCGUACGGUUCGGAUAAGUUUUUUUCGGUUAGGAUUACUAAUUUUACGGGGUCUAGGUAAAUUUACCCGGUUACAAGCAGUUUUUCUUGGUUAAGGGAAAUUAUUCCCGGUUUAAUUUCGGUUUAAAUUUUGGUUAGGUUAUUUUAUUCGGUUUAGUAGAUAUACAACUUUUAAAACCUAAAUAAUAAAUUUACUUCUACUUAAUUUAAAAACAUAAAUUCAAAAAUCAAUUAGUUCUCUUUUCUCAGCACUCUUUCCUCUUGUUUCUUUCUUCAACCUUUAUUUUACUCUCUAGCAUAAUUUUUUAAAAACAACAAAAGAAAACCAGUAGUUUUCUUUUGAAACAAGCCAGUAGUUUCCACUACAGUUCUCAUACAAAUUCCUUUGAAUUUUCCUCUCCUCUUUACCCGUUUGGCUUAUAUAUAUGAACUAAGAAAGCUUGUUUCCUCAAACCACUGCUAUACUUUCUUCAAACUCUCUUUUGCUCUAUCUCUCUCAUGGCUUCUUCUUCUCCUCCUUCUCCUUGUGCUUAUAUUAAGAGAUACGAUGUCUUUCCAAGCUUCAACGGGCCAGAUGUUCGUAAAGGACUCCUCAGUCAUUUACACGAUCACUUUUUAAGGAAGGAAAUCAAAAUGUACAAGGAUGAUAAGAUGGAGAGAUGCCAACGAUCAAACGUGAACUCGUGAAAGCGAUUAGAGAAUCGAGGGUCUUGAUGGUUUUGCUCUCGAAAAACUACGCUUCUUCGAGCUGGUGUUUGGACGAACUGGUGGAAAUCUUGAAGUGCAGAAAAGAUAAGGAACAGAUUGUGAUGCCUAUUUUCUACGACCUUGAUCCGUUCCAUGUACGCACACAGAGCGGUGACUUCGGAAGCGCGUUCGAGAAAACCUGCGAAAACCAAACAGAGGAAGUGAAGCAGAGAUGGGUCGAAGCUUUGAAAUGUGUAACGACCAUAGCUGGAGAACAUUCUCGUAACUGGUUUGUUUUAACCUGCAUAACUUCUUUCGUGAUUCAACCAUAGCUGGAGUUUCUAUAAUUUAUUAAGAUUUUGUUUUUUUUUUCAGGACUGAUGAUGCUGAGAUGGUCCAAAAGCUUUGCACAGAAGUCUCGAACAAACUGAAAGUGGAAGAGUCUAAGGAAGAAUUUAGGAAGUACGAUGUAGACAAUAAUGGUUUCAUAACUGCAGCAGAGCUUCCACGAUGUGUGUUGAUAAAAGAUGGAGAAGAAUCUACUGAUAAGCAAGUUCGUAGUAUCAUCCGAGUAGUUGAUAUUGAUGGCGAUGGUCAGAUCAACUUUGAUGAAUUUGUCGAACUCAUGGCUCUUAGGUAAGGGAUUCUUGAAAGCCUUAACCUCAAAGAAACAAAAAGAAAAACGAUUUAUGAUGUCUUACAGUGAAAUCUUAUCAUAUGAUUUAGAACGCUUUUGUCUCUCUUAAUCAAUGAUUCAAUAGUGGAGUUUCUAUAGUCUAAUAACAUUCUGUUUUUUUUUUUUUUUUCUUAGGAUGACUGAUAAGAAGCUUUACACGGACCAAGUGAAAGCGGAAAUGAUGAAGGAAGGCUUUAGGGAAUGCGAUGUAGACCAGAAUGGUUACAUAACUGCACCAGAGCUUCGAUAUGUGCUGACAAAAGAUGGGGAGGAAUUUACCGAUAAGCAAGUUCGUAAGAUCAUCCGAAAAGCUGAUGUUAAUGGCGGUGAUCAGCUCAACUGUGAUGAAUUCUUCAAAUUCAUGAAUCUCAUGAUGGAUGCGUAAGGGAUUCUUAAGCCUUAACCUCAUGGAUAAAAAAAAAGGAUUUAUGAAUUAUGAUGUCUUACAGUGAAAAUAUUUUAACGCCUUUUUGUUUCUUAAUCUAAUCUAUAAGAUUCUGUUUUUUUUUUCUUUUGUUAGAAAGAGGAUGACUGAUGAAAGAGCUGCGAGAGUCGAAAAGAUUGCCUCAUAUGUAUCGAACAAACUGGAUAAAUUCGCCAUAUAGAUUCAUGAUAAAAGCCUUCUCCUGAAGAAGAAAAGAAAAACGAUUUAUGAAUGUCUUACAGUGUGAAUUUUCAUCAUGAUAUGAUCCUGGUUGUCUUCUUUAGGACAUGUUUUUUUUACUUCUUUCCACCUUCGAUUUGGUUGCUUUGUUAAUCUCUUUAAUUAGUGUUAUGUCAAGUAUGAACUCAUGUUUUGCUCCUCCUAGUGACAAUUGAUUUUAUCUCUUUUUUUGUGUUUCCUAUUUAGAUAUGAGAGAUUGUAUUGGGAUAUAACAUAUAUCAUCUCGUUUUUUUUUUCUUUUUUUCUUUUUGUAAAGAAUAUCACUUGAUCUAUGUACCCAAGUAUAUUUAAGAAAUUGGAAAAAUAAGGAUAUUUUAUAAGAAAAUCAUUAAAUUGUAUAAAGAAUAUAAAGUGCUAUUAAAAAUGUGAUUUAAAAAAAGAAAAGUACGCAUGAUCCUACUAUACUUAUAUUCCUAGCUCUUGAGAAAUGAGUUAUUUGAGUUUGGAGCCACACGUUCAGGGGACGGUACUCGGCUCUUUGAAAGAGUAUUAAGCUUGAAUGUAGAUUGCAUGAGCCACAGAACCUUAAGUGUCGGAGGCUUAUCCGCUUAUGUGAAUCAAGUUCAUGUCCACACAAUGACGUCAUACGGUCAAAUCUGUCCCAUGUUCUUGGACCAGUUGCAUACAAUUUAAUUAUCCUCUUGUCAAUAUUAGAUUAGAGAUACAACAGUUUUGUCCUCCAUAGAGAGAGCUUCUUCAUCAUCGACGAAAAGAAGAACAAAAGCCCAUACAUAUCCCAGUUGAAAACGAGAAGAAAGCCCACACAGAAAAAAUACGUGAUUACCUAACUGCAAAAGACAAAGGUAUGUGACCACCUAGGUAACUGCAGAAGACAAUUAAAGGUUGUUGAGUUGAGC